GAGAGAGUCCCGACGGAAAUGAUGACUGCUAAUCCCUUAUUCCCCUGGUUAAACCCCAGGGCUCACUCG
rnacentral:tRNA from 1 species